UUGUUUCCGGGUGCUGACACAGCCCAGAGGCACCGAGCAUCACUGACAGCUUUUCUUUGCCUUUUUCUCCUCUGAGAGUCCAGCUGAGGCAGUUGGUGAAUUUGAGGCCGCAUGUCUGUGCCUGUGCUCUGCUCAUGCAGUGUUUCCAAAUUCCAUCGUUGUGCCGAGAAGGAAUAAUCCUCUGUGAUUACAAUUGCCUGGUGCAUUUCCCAUUGGGCUAUCCAGAAUGUAGGCUGUGGCAGAUGGACGAGUAAAUAGGUCACAUGCUGUGAAGAAUUUGAGAGAAUUUGAGUGGAAUUCUUCCUUACUAUGUGAGCUGCUGCUUUGAAAUGGAGGCUUGCAUCAGUCCUUAUGUUCAGGUGGCUCAAUGACUGGACACCAUAGGAGAUGUGAUGAUCCCAGUCCCUCCAUUUGCGAGCAUUUUCUCCAUUUCACUGAGAAGAGUACGGCUCUUUAACUGUGAGUUUUGCACUGUGAGAAUUACAUAUCUAAGAUAUCCAAAAUUACUUCAGUCCUUUUGGUGAGGAAUUAUUCAUCACUAGUUCCUAUUGAGAGAAUUAUUUUUUUGGCUACCAGAAACUCAUUUAACUUCAUUUUGCCUGAUACAUUUUGUAUUUUGUAAUUCUUUGGGACAGGAACUUAACUGAAUGAUUCGUUAGUCAAACUUUUAUGGCAUUAUACCCCUCAGCAGAAGUGCAACCAGACAGGA